CGGUCCCAUUCCGAACCCGGAAGCUAAGCCCUGGCACGGCGAUGGUACUAUGCCCGAGAGGACAUGGGAGAGUAGCACACCGCCGCAA
rnacentral:rRNA from 1 species